rnacentral:rRNA from 1 species
GGUCAAGUAAUGAAGUGCACAUGGUGGAUGCCUUGGCAGUCAGAGGCGAUGAAAGACGUGAUAGCCUGCGAUAAGCGUCGGUGAGGUGGCAAUAUCCUGUGACCCGGCGAUUUCUGAAUGGGGAAACCCAACCAACAUAAGUUGGUUAUUACACAGUUUACUGUGUAAGGCAAACCGGGAGAAGUGAAACAUCUCAGUACCCCGAGGAAAAGACAUCAAAUGAGAUUCCGUAAGUAGCGGCGAGCGAACACGGAGGAGCCGAUCAAUUUUACAGUAGCAAAAUGGCGUGGGAAAGCCAACCAUAGUAGGUGAUAGUCCUGUAUGCGAAACUGUUUAAGCGACAUAUUAAGUAGGGCGGAACACGAGAAAUUCUGUCUGAAGAUGGGGGGACCAUCCUCCAAGGCUAAAUACUCCUGACUGACCGAUAGUGAACCAGUACCGUGAGGGAAAGGCGAAAAGAACCCCUGUUAGGGGAGUGAAAUAGAACCUGAAACCGUGUGCAUACAAGCAGUCGGAGCGGACUUGUUCCGUGACGGCGUACCUUUUGUAUAAUGGGUCAGCGACUUAUAUUCUGUAGCAAGGUUAACCGAAUAGGGGAGCCGUAGGGAAACCGAGUCUUAAUAGGGCGAAUGAGUUGCAGGGUAUAGACCCGAAACCGAGUGAUCUAUCCAUGAGCAGGUUGAAAGUGCCGUAACAGGCACCGGAGGACCGAACCCACUGUCGUUGAAAAGCCAGGGGAUGACUUGUGGAUAGGGGUGAAAGGCUAAUCAAACUCGGUGAUAGCUGGUUCUCCCCGAAAGCUAUUUAGGUAGCGCCUCGGACGAACACCAUUGGGGGUAGAGCACUGUUUCGGCUAGGGGGUCACACCGACUUACCAAACCGAUGCAAACUCCGAAUACCGAUGAGUGAUAUCCGGGAGACAGACGGCGGGUGCUAACGUCCGUCGUCAAGAGGGAAACAACCCAGACCGCCAGCUAAGGCCCCAAAUUCCUAGUUAAGUGGGAAACGAUGUGGGAAGGCACAGACAGCUAGGAGGUUGGCUUAGAAGCAGCCACCCUUUAAAGAAAGCGUAAUAGCUCACUAGUCGAGUCGGCCUGCGCGGAAGAUGUAACGGGGCUCAAACUAGGAGCCGAAGCUGCGGAUUUAAUUGUUUCAAUUAAGUGGUAGGGGAGCGUUGUGUAAGCCUGUGAAGGUGCACUGUAAGGUGUGCUGGAGGUAUCACAAGAGCGAAUGCUGACGUGAGUAACGACAAAACGGGUGAAAAGCCCGUUCGCCGGAAGACCAAGGGUUCCAGUCCAACGUUAAUCGGGGCUGGGUGAGUCGACCCCUAAGGCGAGGCCGAAAGGCGUAGUCGAUGGGAAAUCGGUUAAUAUUCCGAUACUUGUUUAUGAUGCGAUGGAGGGACGGAGAAGGUUAUGCCAGCCUGGCGAUGGUUGUCCAGGUGGAAGGAUGUAGUUAGACUGAGUAGGCAAAUCCGCUCGGUUAUUAAUGAGAUCUGAUAGCAAGCCAGUUUACUGGCGAAGUGGCAAAUACCCUGCUUCCAGGAAAAGCUUCUAAGCGAUAGUCAUAAACGAAUCGUACCCGAAACCGACACAGGUGGUCAGGUAGAGAAUACCAAGGCGCUUGAGAGAACUCUGCUGAAGGAACUAGGCAAAAUGGUACCGUAACUUCGGGAGAAGGUACGCUGCCGAUGGUGAUGAAACUUGCUUUCUGAGCUGUUGGCAGUCGCAGAUACCAGGCUGCUGCAACUGUUUAUUAAAAACACAGCACUCUGCAAACACGAAAGUGGACGUAUAGGGUGUGAUGCCUGCCCGGUGCUGGAAGGUUAAUUGAUGGGGUUAGCGUAAGCGAAGCUCUUGAUCGAAGCCCCAGUAAACGGCGGCCGUAACUAUAACGGUCCUAAGGUAGCGAAAUUCCUUGUCGGGUAAGUUCCGACCUGCACGAAUGGCAUAAUGAUGGCAGCGCUGUCUCCAGCAGAGACUCAGUGAAAUCGAAAUCGCAGUGAAGAUGCUGUGUACCCGCGGCUAGACGGAAAGACCCCGUGAACCUUUACUACAGCUUUACAUUGAACUUUGACCUAACUUGUGUAGGAUAGGUGGGAGGCUUUGAAGCAGAUACGCCAGUAUUUGUGGAGCCAACCUUGAAAUACCACCCUGGUUAUGUUGGGGUUCUAACUUGAGAUUAACAGAUCUAAGGACAAUGUAUGGUGGGUAGUUUGACUGGGGCGGUCUCCUCCUAAAGAGUAACGGAGGAGUACGAAGGUGCGCUCAGAACGGUCGGAAAUCGUUCAAAGAGUAUAAAGGCAAAAGCGCGCUUAACUGCGAGACCCACAAGUCGAGCAGGUACGAAAGUAGGUCUUAGUGAUCCGGUGGUUCUGUAUGGAAGGGCCAUCGCUCAACGGAUAAAAGGUACUCUGGGGAUAACAGGCUGAUACCGCCCAAGAGUUCAUAUCGACGGCGGUGUUUGGCACCUCGAUGUCGGCUCAUCUCAUCCUGGGGCUGAAGCAGGUCCCAAGGGUAUGGCUGUUCGCCAUUUAAAGAGGUACGCGAGCUGGGUUUAGAACGUCGUGAGACAGUUCGGUCCCUAUCUACCGUGGGCGUUGGAAAUUUGAGAGGAUCUGCUCCUAGUACGAGAGGACCAGAGUGGACGAACCUCUGGUGUUUCGGUUGUCACGCCAGUGGCAUUGCCGAGUAGCUACGUUCGGAUGGGAUAACCGCUGAAAGCAUCUAAGCGGGAAGCCCACCUCAAGAUAAGAUUUCCCUAAAGAGCCGUUGUAGACUACGACGUUGAUAGGUUGGGUGUGGAAGUGUAGUGAUACAUGUAGCUAACCAAUACUAAUUGCUCGUUUGGCUUGACCAU